rnacentral:rRNA from 1 species
UACGGAGGGGGCUAGCGUUGUUCGGAAUUACUGGGCGUAAAGCGCACGUAGGCGGCUUUGUAAGUUAGAGGUGAAAGCCCGGGGCUCAACUCCGGAAUUGCCUUUAAGACUGCAUCGCUAGAAUUGUGGAGAGGUAAGUGGAAUUCCGGGUGUAGCGGUGGAAUGCGUAGAGAUCCGGAAGAACACCUGAGGCGAAGGCGGCUUGCUGGGCAUGAUCUGACGCUGAGGCGCGAAAGCGUGGGGAGCAAACAGG